CCGCCCGUCAGAGAAUCUUUACAGUUCGAGCGAACCUUGUAAUCCUCGGCGGUUGCGGCGGGAAACGCGCGCUGCAACGUGGCGAUGGCAUUAUUGCGAGACUCUUCGUUUCUGAUCGACGAUAUCGUGAUUAGGUUGUUGGAGAACCAGAGUCUAUCGCACACGUUACAGCUAUGCCCAAAGGUGAUUUUGAGGAAAUCUCUAUCGAACCGGGCGUCUGCACCUUCGUGUUCUUUCUUGGCACGCUUUGCAGACGCCUCGCGUUCUCUCACCUCUGGGUUCGCCUGGCGAUAUGCGCGCUUCCUCGCCGCUUCCCGUUGUCGAACGUUUUCAAGAUCUGCUUCGCGACGCUGACGUGCCGCUUCACCUUCUUGUUCCCGUACGGAAGGAUCUUGCCGACGCUGCCUUGCUGCUGCGGCUUCUUGUUCACGUACGGCGGGAUCUUGCCGACGCUGCCUUGCUGCUGCGGCUUCUUGUUCCCGUACAGCAGGAUCUUGGCGGCGACGUCGCGCAGCUUCCCGGCGCGCUUCUGCCUCGCGGGCUCUCACUUCAGGGUCCUGUCUGCGAGCGCGCGCAUCCGCUGCCCUGCGCGCCCGCCUUUCGGCAUCCUUAUCCAUACGAGCACACACCGACGGCAACGAGCAUCGUCAACUACAAUCCU